CACGGAGGGUGCAAGCGUUGUCCGGAUUUAUUGGGUUUAAAGGGUGCGUAGGCGGCUAAUUAAGUCAGCGGUGAAAUUCCACAGCUCAACUGUGUGAACUGCCAUUGAUACUGGUUGGCUUGAGUACAGAUGAGGUAGGCGGAAUUGACAGUGUAGCGGUGAAAUGCUUAGAUAUUGUCAAGAACACCUAUUGCGAAGGCAGCUUACUAAACUGUAACUGACGCUGAGGCACGAAAGCGUGGGGAUCAAACAGG
rnacentral:rRNA from 1 species